rnacentral:rRNA from 1 species
UAUUGCACAAUGGGGGAAACCCUGAUGCAGCGACGCCGCGUGGGUGACGAAGUAUUUCGGUAUGUAAAGCCCUAUCAGCAGGGAAGAAGAUGACAGUACCUGACUAAGAAGCCCCGGCUAACUACGUGCAAGCAGCCGCGGUAAUACGUAGGGGGCAAGCGUUAUCCGGAUUUACUGGGUGUAAAGGGAGCGUAGGUGGCAUGGCAAGCCAGAAGUGAAAACCCGGGGCUUAACUCCGCGGAUUGCUUUUGGAACUGUCAGGCUGGAGUGCAGGAGGGGCAGGCGGAAUUCCUGGUGUAGCGGUGAAAUGCGUAGAUAUCAGGAGGAACACCGGUGGCGAAGGCGGCCUGCUGGACUGUAACUGACACUGAGGCUCGAAAGCGUGGGGAGCAAACAGGA